rnacentral:rRNA from 1 species
GAUGAACGCUGGCGGCGUGCCUAAUACAUGCAAGUCGAGCGAACGGACGAGAAGCUUGCUUCUCUGAUGUUAGCGGCGGACGGGUGAGUAACACGUGGAUAACCUACCUAUAAGACUGGGAUAACUUCGGGAAACCGGAGCUAAUACCGGAUAAUAUUUUGAACCGCAUGGUUCAAAAGUGAAAGACGGUCUUGCUGUCUCUUAUAGAUGGAUCCGCGCUGCAUUAGCUAGUUGGUAAGGUAACGGCUUACCAAGGCAACGAUGCAUAGCCGACCUGAGAGGGUGAUCGGCCACACUGGAAGUGAGACACGGACAAGACAACUACGGGAGGCAGCAGUAGGGAAUCUUCCGCAAUGGGCGAAAGCCUGACGGAGCAACGCCGCGUGAGUGAUGAAGGUCUGCGGAUCGUAAAACUCUGUUAUUAGGGAAGAACAUAUGUGUAAGUAACUGUGCACAGCUUGACGGUACCUAAUAAGAAAGCAACGGCUAACUACGUG